GGCCACUUCGGUGGUACUCGAGCGGCGAACGGGUGAGUAACACGUGAGUAAUCUGCCCCUGGCUUUGGGAUAGCCACCGGAAACGGUGAUUAAUACCGGAUAUGACCACGUCUCGCAUGGGGUGUGGUGGAAAGUUUUUCGGCCAGGGAUGUGCUCGCGGCCUAUCAGCUUGAUGGUGAGGUAAUGGCUUACCAUGGCUUCGACGGGUAGCCGGCCUGAGAGGGUGACCGGUCACACUGGGACUGAGACACGGCCCAGACUCCUACGGGAGGCAGCAGUGGGGAAUAUUGGACAAUGGGCGGAAGCCUGAUCCAGCAACGCCGCGUGAGGGAUGACGGCCUUCGGGUUGUAAACCUCUUUCAGUACCGACGAAGCGCAAGUGACGGUAGGUACAGAAGAAGCACCGGCCAACUACGUGCCAGCAGCCGCGGUAAUACGUAGGGUGCGAGCGUUGUCCGGAAUUAUUGGGCGUAAAGGGCUCGUAGGCGGUUUGUCGCGUCGGGAGUGAAAACCAGGUGCUUAACACCUGGCUUGCUUUCGAUACGGGCAGACUAGAGGUAUGCAGGGGAGAACGGAAUUCCUGGUGUAGCGGUGAAAUGCGCAGAUAUCAGGAGGAACACCGGUGGCGAAGGCGGUUCUCUGGGCAUGACCUGACGCUGAGGAGCGAAAGUGUGGGGAGCGAACAGGAUUAGAUACCCUGGUAGUCCACACCGUAAACGUUGGGCGCUAGGUGUGGGAUCCAUUCCACGGGUUCCGUGCCGCAGCUAACGCAUUAAGCGCCCCGCCUGGGGAGUACGGCCGCAAGGCUAANACUCAAAGGAAUUGACGGGGGCCCGCACAAGCGGCGGAGCAUGCGGAUUAAUUCGAUGCAACGCGAAGAACCUUACCUGGGUUGACAUACACCCUGCCGCUCCAGAGAUGGGGCUUCUUUUGGGGGUGGUCCAG
rnacentral:rRNA from 1 species